rnacentral:rRNA from 2 species
GAAGGUGUGUCGUGAGGCAUGCUGGAGGUAUCAGAAGUGCGAAUGCUGACAUAAGUAACGAUAAAGCGGGUGAAAAGCCCGCUCGCCGGAAGACCAAGGGUUCCUGUCCAACGUUAAUCGGGGCAGGGUGAGUCGACCCCUAAGGCGAGGCCGAAAGGCGUAGUCGAUGGGAAACGGGUUAAUAUUCCCGUACUUGGUGUUACUGCGAAGGGGGGACGGAGAAGGCUAUGUUGGCCGGGCGACGGUUGUCCCGGUUUAAGCGUGUAGGUGUGUGUUCCAGGUAAAUCCGGUUCACUUUAACACUGAGGCGUGACGACGAGGCACUACGGUGCUGAAGCAACAAAUGCCCUGCUUCCAGGAAAAGCCUCUAAGCAUCAGGUAACAUCAAAUCGUACCCCAAACCGACACAGGUGGUCAGGUAGAGAAUACCAAGGCGCUUGAGAGAACUCGGGUGAAGGAACUAGGCAAAAUGGUGCCGUAACUUCGGGAGAAGGCACGCUGACACGUAGGUGAAGUGAUUUACUCAUGGAGCUGAAGUCAGUCGAAGAUACCAGCUGGCUGCAACUGUUUAUUAAAAACACAGCACUGUGCAAACACGAAAGUGGACGUAUACGGUGUGACGCCUGCCCGGUGCCGGAAGGUUAAUUGAUGGGGUCAGCGCAAGCGAAGCUCCUGAUCGAAGCCCCGGUAAACGGCGGCCGUAACUAUAACGGUCCUAAGGUAGCGAAAUUCCUUGUCGGGUAAGUUCCGACCUGCACGAAUGGCGUAAUGAUGGCCAGGCUGUCUCCACCCGAGACUCAGUGAAAUUGAACUCGCUGUGAAGAUGCAGUGUACCCGCGGCAAGACGGAAAGACCCCGUGAACCUUUACUAUAGCUUGACACUGAACAUUGAGCCUUGAUGUGUAGGAUAGGUGGGAGGCUUUGAAGUGUGGACGCCAGUCUGCAUGGAGCCGACCUUGAAAUACCACCCUUUAAUGUUUGAUGUUCUAACGUGGACCCGUUACCCGGGUUGCGGACAGUGUCUGGUGGGUAGUUUGACUGGGGCGGUCUCCUCCUAAAGAGUAACGGAGGAGCACGAAGGUUGGCUAAUCCUGGUCGGACAU